rnacentral:lncRNA from 1 species
AGACGCAAAGGCACAGACAUCCAGACGCAGCUGCAGUCGUCUUGCCUCGCUGCAGCCUGCUGAGCUUGCUGAGCCUGCCGAGCAGCCGCACUGAAGACCUCAGGACCCUUGCCAGCACUGGAGAUCUGAGAUCGUCAGGUGUGCCUUUCCCACUCUCUGCUCCAGCCUGGCCUGCUGCCCCAGCCCCUGACAUCCCAUCACGCCGAUUCUCUGGCUGCUUGGCACCUGUGUUUAUUUACUUUCUUACUAUCCACACUUGAUUGGAAGGAAGAAAGGGAAAGUUUUUAAAAAAUGCCCAUCGCACAGUUGCUGGAACUAUGGAAGAAGAUCGAGGUGGAACCCAUGGAGACAGAGACCGCCGAAGAGGAACUCGCCUUGGAUGUUGAGCCCACCCCAGAAGAUACCACAGAAGAAGGCAAAGGAGACACAACCUCCUCAGCUGAGACGCAGCCAGCCUCCUCAUCGUCCGCAGAGGAUGGACGAUGGCAAGACUAAGCCUGUCUCAAUGUGGGAUAUCUGAAUUUACACACACUCCAAUAAAUUGUGGAAUUACAC